rnacentral:tRNA from 1 species
UGGGGCGUCGCCAAGCGGUAAGGCAGCGGCCUUUGGAGCCGCCAUUCGGAGGUUCGAAUCCUUCCGCCCCAGCCU